rnacentral:lncRNA from 1 species
GUUUUAUGUAUGUAUAUAUAUGAAUAAAUGGAUGGUUUGCUAAUCAUUAAUAUACAAAGUUUGACAUUUAUAAUUAUGCUCUGAAUUAUUGAAUAUUCUACAAAUGAUGACAUAAUAAAUGAAAAUACUAAACCAGAACUAAGGGUUGAAGAGCAUUUAAUCUAUCAGAGUUACAUAGAACAUGCCCAUUGUGUAAAAUAUCAGACAGGAAAAUGAAUAUUAUCUGUAACUCUGAAAAAAGUUUGACAAAAAUUCCCCCCCCCCCCUUUUUUUUUUAUCAAAAUUACUUAUUUCAAUUUAACAGGAAAUGAAAACAGUUUUUUCCCCACUUCCGUUAGUUAAGAAAUUGUUGCUAUGUUUUUAAUAAUUAUUGCUAUGUUUUUUAAUAAUGCAAAAUUUGCUAUAUAAUUGGGUUGAACAAAAGAGAUCCAAGCACUUGUAAUUUCAGUAGCUAUUAUUUUCCUUCACACAAUUUUGCAAUGGUGUUAUUUAAGAUGUUACAUUUUGACCAAUAAUCAGUGAUUUACAAUAAUACAUUCAUUUCCGUAUUUACAGUAAUACUUUCAUUUAACUAGCAUCACAAUGAUGGACAUGUAAGUCAAUACAAAAAAAUAACAAACUUUUUCAAAAGUGAAAAAAUGCUGGAUUUCACAAAAGUUAUCUACUUGGCUUACUGGGAUUAAGCAAUGAUGACAAUCUCAUGAAAAUCAGCUGUUAGUUUUCAUCAUGGAUACUUUCCACUCUAAAGUUAGAGUGUAUCGCAACAUCAGAUUUUAAUCAGACUGAGUUUCCAAUCUCUGUGAAUUGGGAAAAAAUGUUCUUGAUUUGUUUGUAUGUUAUUUGAUAGUUUUGGCCAAUUCUGCAUAAAAGUCUACAGAAAAUUUGUAUUUUGUUGAAGACUUAAAAUUGAUGGCUAACCAAUGCAAGAGAAUUCAUGAAUACUUAGCCAAGAUAAAAAUAUAAUGAACCAUCAACAUCAAAAUAUCUAUAUUCUCAGUUACUGCUUGUGCAUCCAUUUAGAUUAAAAAAGAUUAAAUUUUCUUACAAAAAUACAGUUUAUACCAUGACAACAGCAUGAUGUCUUAUUUAUUAUAUAUAAACAAUGAACCAUACAAAAGUAAAGAAAUUCUGAAAUACGAAUAAAGUCCAUU